rnacentral:rRNA from 1 species
UCCGUAGGUGAACCUGCGGAAGGAUCAUUAUUAUUUGGGUCGGGUUUACUACUUAUGCUCAUGUGUCUCAAAUGUAAAGUAGUAAACUUUUACCAAAUAAUCCUAUUUCCAAAUAGGAGCAAGAUUAAUUUAUAUUUAAAACCCACUCUUAAAAUAUUUAUGUAUUUUGAAUGAUAAAAUAAAGAUCACUUUCAACAACGGAUCUCUUGGCUCUCGCAUCGAUGAAGAACGUAGCGAAGUGCGAUAAGUAAUGUGAAUUGCAGAAUUCCGUGAAUCAUCGAAUCUUUGAACGCAAAUUGCACUUUCUGGUAUUCCGGAAAGUAUGCCUGUUUGAGGGUCAGUUAAAUAAAAAUCGGUGUUGUUGCUGCCUUUCGCGGUGACGCGUCGGAAUUGGGUCGUCUUACCUUCGGUUAAGUGACUUAAAAUUUUUUAUGAUUUUUGAACGUAUUAAAUUUUUUGUACGUUUGAGAUAUCGAAUGUUUAUUAGGUUCGGUCAUCCUCAUGAUUCGCGCCUAUAAUUUUUCAUUAAAUUGACCUCAAAUCAGGUAAGAAUACCCGCUGAACUUAA